rnacentral:lncRNA from 1 species
GCUGAAUAUAGUUUUUCCAUUGGAUUAGUCUAAAAGGUAAAAGCAAAUGCGUGUCUUUAGAGCAUCUCUUCUUGUGCACAUCAAAUAUACAGUGUGUUGAAGGCCUGGGAGGCCAUCCGACCUCCUACCUGAUGGAUUACACUAGGUUAGUGUCACGUUUUACUAACGCUCCCUAGAAAACCUUAUUUUAGAAACAUUUCCUGCCUCAUUUUAUCUGAGUUUGCUCAAGGAACUGAAAUCAUCAUGUCCUGAGCUACAUGCCAUGUGCAAGGUCUCUGGCUUAGCACACAGAAAACUCAGAGGAAUUGUAAUUCAGUGAUUCUUGCCAUCUGCAAGCCUGUGGAAUUCAGGUGCCCACAGGAAGGAAUGGAGAGUUUUUUCCAGCCUGACCGUAUCAGCCAUCUCACCACAAGAACCUUCUGUUUUGGCUGUCGUCCCUCUAUCAGACUCAGGCUGCUCCUUAUGGCCAACUAG